GACAAACGCUGGCGGCAUGCCUAACACAUGCAAGUCGAACGGACAGAACAGGGAAGCUUUUCGGAGUGGAACUGGAAAGUUAGUGGCGGAUGGGUGAGUAACGCGUGGACAACCUACCUUGUAAAGGGGAAUAACCUCGAGAAAUCGAAGCUAAUACCCCAUAAUAACCUUGCUUCGCAUGAAGUAAGGAGGAAAGGCGGCCUUAGCGCUGUCGAUACAAGAUGGGUCCGCGUCUGAUUAGCUAGUUGGUGAGGUAAAGGCUCACCAAGGCGACGAUCAGUAGCCGGACUGAGAGGGUGAACGGCCACAUUGGGACUGAGACACGGCCCAGACUCCUACGGGAGGCAGCAGUGGGGAAUCUUCCGCAAUGGGCGAAAGCCUGACGGAGCAAUGCCGCGUGAGUGAAGAAGGCCUUCGGGUUGUAAAACUCUGUCCUUAUCGAAGAGAGAGUGUUGUAGUAACUGACAAUACUAGGACGGUAGAUGAGGAGGAAGCCCCGGCUAACUAUGUG
rnacentral:rRNA from 1 species